ensembl:snoRNA SNORD102 small nucleolar RNA, C/D box 102
AGUUUGAUAAUGAUUGUCUUAUAUGAGUAAAAUGAAAACAAUUUUACUGGCUCUGAAAGCU